UGUGUUCAUAGUCAUGAAUAUCUUGAUUUAUAUAUAAUUUCUUAUUCCAAAUAGGUGUCUAGCUGCAAAUAGGCAUCAUAAUUAUAACAUAAACACUAAUAUCAGAAGUAAUAACAAAGAUGAACAGAUGAAAAACAACAUUAGAAUCGUAAAAUGGAGCCAGGAAUUAGCUAGUACA